GACAGAGGUGCCAAGCGUUAGGCGGAAUCACUGGGCUUAAAGCGUGUGUAGGUGGAUGCCUAAGUACCUUGUGAAAUCCCACGGCUUAACCGUGGAACUGCUGGGUAUACUGGGUGUCUUGAGCCACUCAGGGGCUACCGGAACAAAUGGUGGAGCGGUGAAAUGCGUAGAUAUCAUAUGGAACGCCAAUGGUGAAAACAGGUAGCUGGGGGUGUGCUGACACUGAGACACGAAAGCCAGGGGAGCAAACGGG
rnacentral:rRNA from 1 species